rnacentral:rRNA from 1 species
CCUACGGGGGACAGCAGUAGGGAAUAUUGCUCAAUGGGGGAAACCCUGAAGCAGCAACGCCGCGUGGAGGAUGAAGGUUUUCGGAUUGUAAACUCCUUUUGUUAGAGAAGAUAAUGACGGUAUCUAACGAAUAAGCACCGGCUAACUCCGUGCCAGCAGCCGCGGUAAUACGGAGGGUGCAAACGUUACUCGGAAUCACUGGGCGUAAGGAGCGCGUAGGCGGGAUAGUAAGUCAGAUGUGAAAUCCUAUGGCUUAACCAUAGAACUGCAUUUGAAACUGUGAUUCUAGAGUAUGGGAGAGGUAGGUGGAAUUCUUGGUGUAGGGGUAAAAUCCGUAGAGAUCAAGAGGAAUACUCAUUGCGAAGGCGACCUGCUAGAACAUAACUGACGCUGAUGCGCGAAAGCGUGGGGAGCAAACAGGAUUAGAUACCCGAGUAGUC